GACGAACGCUGGCGGUGUGCCUAAUACAUGCAAGUAGAACGCACAGUUUAUACUGUCUUUUUCUACACCAUAGACUGUGAGUUGCGAAUGGGUGAGUAACGCGUAGGUAACCUGCCUGGUAGCGGUGGAUAACUAUUGGACACGCUAGCUAAUACCGCACAAUAUUUAUUAUUGCAUGAUACUUAAUUGAAAGGUUCAAUUGCACCACUACCAGAUUGACCUUCGUUGUAUUAGCUAGUAGGUGAGGUAACGGCUCACCUAGGCUACGAUACAUAACCGGCCUGGGAGGGUGAGGGGCCACACUGGGACUGGGACACGGCCCAGACUCCUACGGGAGGCAGCAGUAGGGAAUCUUCGGCAAUGGACGAAAGUCUGACCGAGCAACGCCGAGUGAGUGAAGAAGGUGUUCGGAUCGUAGAGUUCUGUUGUAAGAGAAGAGCGGGUGUGAGAGUGGAAAGUUCACACUGUGACGGUAUCUUACCAGAAAGGGACGGCUAACUACGUG
rnacentral:rRNA from 1 species